AUGAUAAGAAAUUCGUCGUUGACCUCCGUUUCUCCAUCUUCGAAUCACUCGGAAUAUUGUAGGAAUAAAUAUAAAUCGAAAGAACCAACUGUAAAAAAUAAGGGAAAUUGUGGCUUCCUGGUUUUUCAAGCGACAUACACGAAAUACACUGAAAAGCAUCUUUGGUUCUUGAAGAUGCAGUUAGAAAUAUUUACAUUGUUGUUGCAUUUUGUGCUGUUUUUGAUGCGGAAUGUUGUAUCGAGGGUAUUGUCAAGGUCAAUAUCAGUAGCAGAAACCACACUUUUUGCAGCGAAUAAGUAA
rnacentral:lncRNA from 1 species